AGCGCAGACGGUUGAUUAAGUCUGAUGUGAAAGCCCGGAGCUCAACCCCGGAAUGGCAUUGGAAACUGGUUAACUUGAGUGCAGUAGAGGUAAGUGGAACUCCAUGUGUAGCGGUGGAAUGCGUAGAUAUAUGGAAGAACACCAGUGGCGAAGGCGGCUUACUGGACUGUAACUGACGUUGAGGCUCGAAAGUGUGGUAGCAAACA
rnacentral:rRNA from 1 species